UACGAAGGGAGCUAGCGUUGUUCGGAAUUACUGGGCGUAAAGGGCGCGUAGGCGGGUUUCCAAGUCGGGGGGUGAAAUUCCAGGGCUCAACCCUGGGACGGCCUUCGAUACUGGGAGCCUGGAGAUCGGGAGAGGUGAGUGGGAAUUCCGAGUGUAGAGGUGAAAAUUCGUAGAUAUUCGGAAGGAACACCAGAAGCGAAGGGCGGCUCACCUGGCCCGAGACUGACGCUGAGGCGCGAAAGCGUGGGAGCAACAGG
rnacentral:rRNA from 1 species